rnacentral:rRNA from 1 species
GGGGGGGGGGGGGGGGGGGGGGGGGGGGGGGGGGGGGGGGGGGGGGGGGGUGGUGGGGGGGUGGUCGGGGGGCGGAGGGGUGGGGAGGCCGUGGGUGCGGGGGGCCGGGCGUUGGGAUAGGGGUGGGACACUGGGUCUAGUCCUGGAUGGGACCAGGAGGUCGGUGGGGUGGUGGACAGAUUGGUUUCGGUAAGGGAUGAGCUCGCGGCCUAUCAGCUUGUUGGUGGGGUAAUGGCCUACCAAGGCGUCGACGGGUAGCCGGCCUGAGAGGGUGGACGGCCACAUUGGGACUGAGAUACGGCCCAGACUCCUACGGGAGGCAGCAGUGGGGAAUAUUGCACAAUGGGCGCAAGCCUGAUGCAGCGACGCCGCGUGGGGGAUGACGGCCUUCGGGUUGUAAACUCCUUUCAGCCAUGACGAAGCCCUUGUGGUGACGGUAGUGGUAGAAGAAGCACCGGCUAACUACGUG